rnacentral:rRNA from 1 species
UUCUGGGAGGAUUGACAGACUGAGAGCUCUUUCUCGAUUCGGUGGAUGGUGGUGCAUGUCCGUUCUUAGUUGGUGGAGCGAUUUGUCUGCGAACGAGACUCUAGCCUAUUAAAUUGGUGCGUAGUUCUCUGCACCUUGCACCCUUCUUAGAGGGACAAGCGGCUCCCAGCCGCACGAAAUAGAGCAAUAACAGGUCUGUGAUGCCCUUAGAU